AAGUCGUAACAAGGUUUCCGUAGGUGAACCUGCGGAAGGAUCAUUACUGUGAUUUAUAUCUUAUACACAUGCGUGAGCGCACCAAACACCUAAAAUUGUAAUACUACCAGUCACUAAGUUUUAACAAAACAAAACUUUCAACAACGGAUCUCUUGGUUCUC
rnacentral:misc_RNA from 1 species